rnacentral:lncRNA from 1 species
UACUAAACUGAACAUAAAUAAAAUAAACUAUGAAAUUAUAAAUGAUCUAACAGGGACAUCUUAGCAGCACAGAGCAAUGUAGAAUGCAGUGGUUUCUGCUAGUCAUGGAAGGGGGAUUUUACCUGAUGAGGGUUGGUGGUGAUUUAAAUUCAAAACCUUUGUCCCCUGAACUUGCUUGGCCCCACCUGGUUGGGGGCGGGUGUUGGGGAGUGGCCCCUUUAAGAAUCUCUGUGAGGGUGAGCGCGGCAGUUGGAGCCUCGGGGAAGAAGGACCAGGGGGCUGGGAUUCAUCAGGUGUGUACAGGGCAUCACCAGGUGUGAGCUGGGCCUCAGCCACUGCCUCCACUCUGCAGGCCUUCCUGGGAGCUCACCCAGCCCCUGGGCCCCUCUCUGAGCCCGGAUCGCCUCUCCAGCACUGUAGCAGACUUUAAUUCACCUUUGUCAGGAAGGAAAGUCAUCGAGGAAUCCAGAAACAAUGAUUUCUUCCCAGAAGAAGCAGCACAGUGCAAGAUGGCAGCACAUGGAGCAUCUAACUAACAGCCUACAUGAAGCUUAUGUAACAUUGUUAUGUCAUCAGUCUAUGAUUCUGGCCAUGAAUUCCAGCUCUGUAGAUCCCUUACAACAAUAUGAAACUCAAUUGGAGGUAACAAAGAAAUCUUUUAAAAUGGUAUUUGGACUACCAAGUUUUGACAAAGGAACAUUUCAGACCAGCGAUGAAGAUGUCAAGGACCUGGAGAUUUUAUAUCGAGAUAUUUUAAAUUUGUUUGAGGACACUAUUCUGAUCUUAGUGUCUAAAGACCUCUACAAACUACAGAUCUUAAAGGAAAUGACUAUGUGGAUGAGUGAAGAUAGUUUAUACCAGCAAGAGAGAGUAAUGGUGAUCAUCAGCAGGGUGUUAAGAUUUGCAUCCAGGAAAGUCAGGGAACAUACAAGUAUUGAUGCUCCAUGUUUAGGUGUCCUGGCAGCAGAGCUGUCUCUUCUGUGUUCCCAUGCUGAUGCCUCAGUCACACAGCAAGCAUCCCUGGGAAUGUAUUACCUCCUCUGCAUUGCAAAACAUCAGAGUGCAGACUCCCAAAGAGACAACCCUACAAAGCAGUAUGAGCAUGGAAAUCACUGCUUCCUGACUUCUGAUUCUGAAUUCCGACCUGAGGUUUUGCAACAAGACAAAACUAAACUUGCUCAGUGUAUAGGACAAAGCUUAUCACCCUCUUUGCUGACUGACUUUAUGUUGCAUCUCCUGAUGAAACUCUCGACAUCUGAUCAAGAAACUGCAUCCAAAGCAGCAACUGUGCUGAAACUGACUCUGAAAUAUCAUGCCCAGAAGGUCACCAGGGUGUGUCAGAUGGUGGACACUAUUUAUAAGCAACUGAAAGAAAAUUCUUCUCACUUUAUGAAGGACAUCUUGUUGGAGGUUGUCACCUUGUUGGCACAAAUGUUGCCCAAAGGUGUCGUCUUUCAGCUCAUGUACUACCCAGUCCCAGCGGACAACGCUCUGAUGCUGAUGUGGCAGGCAGUGGGCUCUGAGCCACAAGUUGCCCCACAAGUGCUGAAGGAAAUCCUGUUGGUCUUGAAAGACAAACCUUGGGAAGUGGAGGACACCAUGCAGGAAGGGAGAUGCUUCAUUCUGGAUGUCACUAACAUGAUGCCUCUGGCGGCAUCCCAGGCCCUGUGCAUGCUUUUGCCUAUGGGUUCCUAUAAGAAGACAGUGGCCCAGUUUUUUCCCGAGAUCUUGAUGGCCCUCAUGUUUCAACUCCUUUACAUCAGUCAGCUGAGAGUGCAGCCACAGGACAGGCCUAUUUAUGCCCGGGAGGGGCUGAGAAUUCUGCUAAAUUGUUCUGGACUGCAAGAAGUGGAUACUGCUCUGAAACAGAAGUAUUGCUGGAGUCAUAUUUGCCAAACAUACUAUUACCAAGAUGGGGUCAACCUCAUUGCCAGAACUCUCUGUGAAUAUAACUUUCCACAGUUUCCAGAAACCUUAUAUUAUCUCCACAAGAUCUUAGUGCAAGGUCCUAGGAGGUCAGAAGAGCAUAUCAUCAUAGUAAUAUUCUUCAUCAAAAUUCUGGAUAAGUUCUUUAAGGACCCACUCCCAGAAUUAUUUUUGGUCCUCCUCAGAAACUGGAUCAAUGAUUCCAAUCCUGAAAUUAGCAAAUUAAGCCUUCAGAAAAUCACCAGCAUGGCCCCAGUUGUCCAUAAGAUAGAAAAUGUCCGCAGCUUAUUAACAUCCAUCCUAGAUGCCUUCGGGUCCAAAGAUGAGACUGUUGUAACUCAGGCCUUGCUCACCCUCCGAAGACUGGUAGACAAACUGGACAAGGUGAACUAUUCAUCACUGUGCACUGGAAUUGCUUCCAGCUACUUCCAUCUGAUGGAUCAUUGCUCUGGAAAUGUGCGGAGCUUGGCUAUCAGGCACUUGGCAGAAUUGAUCAAGGGUGUGAGCCAACACACAUCAACCUUAAAACAUGUCCUAGGAGGCUUCGCACCCUUCAUCCUCUGUUUGGAGGACAGGGACACUAGAGUAGUGAGUGCAUGUAAACAUACAUUAGCAAUCUGUGACUCGCAACUAGAAUGGUCAAUCUCAACUUUGUUUAAAGAAGAAAAUUACAAUUUUGAGCUGGUAGUUCUCAGCAUCUGUAACAAUCUUCUUCUUUCUCAUGAGAGUUGCAUUACAUACUUAACUUGUGACGCCUUAGGGUUCCUGGGAAGCUCCCAAGUGCAUCUGAGAAGAGCAGCAGUUAUUUUACUAGGGUACUUGGCAGAAUUGGGUGGACAUUUGCUAUUCAGAGAUGAAAUUGAAGUUUUGAUUGAAGCUACGGAACGAAUGCUCCAGGAUGAAGACUCUCAGGUCCAGGAGUUGGCAGAAAUAACCCACGAUCUUUUAAAGAAAAUAGCCCAUAGACCAAGAUCCACAACUAUUAAACACGCUUUCCAGAGAUUGUUUAAGUUCUCCUACACCAAGGAAAUGAAGCAUCUUUAUAAUUGGCAAGGCACCACAUGGACGGUCCUAAACAGAGAAGAGAAAGAGGACCAGCAGCCACUCUACCUGCCCCUGGAUCCUCCUCCAGCUUCUGACCUCUGAGCCAGGUGUGUUGACUUCUGUGGGAAAGAACGCUGGCUUCUCCUGCAGGACACUCACAUGAUGAGCAUCGUGAUGGAGCCGGGAAGCUCCAGACACCCUUGUACUGAUGUGAUCUCCCUUGUCCUCCCCCCCACCCCGCUCACUCACACCUCCCUGCCCAUUGCCUGCCUUGCUGAUGUCAAGCUCCAGCGUCAGGUGAAGAUGAUAACCUACAGAGACUACUUACCCAGCUCCCAAGGUUGCAUGAAGUCAAAGCCCAGGUUCUGCUUCUCUAACAGAACCCUGACUGAUACAGUACCUGGGAUAAACUUUCACACCCUACUGCUUGAGGGUGGGUGAUGGAUGUCGCGCCUAUGAUUUCUCUUAACACCCUGUGAUUAUAUUUUUCACUACACUUAUCAGACUGGAGCAAAAUUAUCUAUUUUCCUUCUGCCCCACAAAAUUGAAGUUUCAUGAAAGCAACUGUCAUAUCUUAUACUUGGUUGUAUACUAUGGAACUGACACCUCAUUAGGUGCCUGACACCUAACAUGCUCGAUAAAUAUUUGGCAAAUUAAUGAAGUGCAAGUAGAACAUAUUCCUCUUGUACUUCAAUAAAAUUUUUCACAUAUUUAUGAGUGCUCUUUCAUGGAAACAGUGAAAGGAUGGACUUUUUUGAUUUAUCCCUGAGCCCAUGUUAUUUUAUAUUACCUAGAAGUCCCAGGCUUACCAUUCAAAAUUAGGGCAAAUUUCCUUUGCCAGCUACUAAACUAACAGAAUACCUAGAGAACCAGGCCAAAUAAUGACUUCCUCAAGGAUUAUCAAGUCCUACUCCCAGAACCUCUAAAUCUAUUGCUUUAUAAGGCAAAAGAGCUGUGUUCCAGGAGCAUAGGUACCUACUCACCCUCAAACAAAGUCCUCGUGUUAAUAGUUGAUCGAUCAUAUUUGGUUGGCUACUGUAUGUCAGGUACUACAAGGUGUUUUGCUUGCUGGUUCUUCCCAACAGUCUAAGCUGUCAGCCAUUAUUCUUGCACCCAUUGGGCAGACGAGUAAUCUGAGCCACAGUUUAGGAAUAGGGCAGGGGGUGAUAUAUUUGGACUCAGGGACUCCAGAGCCAGGGUGCCUAAUCCCUCCACCACAGUAUAUGCUGUACAUGGAUCUGUUUUUUCCACUGAAUAUAAACCCAGUUUGCACAUUAGAAUCACUUGGGCUUUUAAAAAAAUACUAAUAAACAGACUUGACUCCAGAUCACUUAUAUCAGAAUCUUUGGGCAUGAGGCUCAAGGAUCCAGGUGUUUUAAGAAUACAGGUGGAGCUGGGCGUGGUGGUGCACACCUGUAAUCCCAGCACAGGGGAGGCUGA